GGAGAACGCGUGCGAGUGGCGUUCGCCGUUGCGGAGCAUGUGGAAAGUAAGCCGUCUUCGCUCUCUCUUCCCCCUUCGCGGCGGGGCGUGGAGGGCCGCCUCGGUCUGGAGCUUCGGGGACAACAGCAAUGGCGCCUUGGGCCUCUCUGCGCCGCUCGCCGACGCCUACGAGCCCACCAGGGUGCCGUCUCUCCCGUCCGACGUCGCCGCCGUCGCCGCGGGUCAUUACCACUCCCUCGCCGUCACCGCUUCCGGGGAAGUCUGGGCGUGGGGUCGCAACGAGGAGGGUCAGAUUGGAAGACACGCCACUGCCCCAAGAGCCACAUGGAAUAAACCAGAAAAGGUGAUAGGCCUGGAUCAUGUGAGGGUUGAAGCUGCUUUUGCAUCUGGUGUUACUUCCGCAGCCAUUGAUGAUGAUGGUUCUUUAUGGGUGUGGGGAAGAUCCAAGCGUGGCCAACUUGGUCUUGGCAACCGAGUGACAGAAGCUACCAAACCUACUAAGGUUCAAGCACUUGCAGAUCAUCAAAUAGUGAAGGUAUCAUUUGGAUGGGGACAUGCAUUGGCGUUAACUAAAGAUGGAAAACUAUUUGGUUGGGGUUAUGCAGCGGAUGGAAGAUUAGGUCAAAUGGAACAAAAGCUAGAUUCACCACAGACACAGCCCUUGGAAUUUGAUAAAUCAUUGGAAAGUUUGAUGCCUAUGCUAGAUGUAGUGGAAAAGCUAGUGGCAGAAAAAAUUGAGAAAGAGAAGAAUAUGCCCAUUAUCUGGGAGCCAUGUGAAGUUCUGGAAGUCAGUUGUCUCAAUGUCUCUGAUAUGGCUUGUGGACUUGACCAUUCAUUAGUGCUCUGCAGCAGUGGCACUGUAUUAAGCAGUGGAGACAAUCUAUAUGGUCAGUUAGGGAGAAACACGUAUGGAUCUAUGCUCCCGGUAGGCUUAAAUGCCCAUGCACUCUCUGUAUCAGCAGGACUUGGUCACUCUCUUGUCCUGUGCCAGAUUCCAUCUGAGGACAGAGAAGAGGUGAACGCUGUGCUCUCAUGGGGAUGGAAUCAGAGCCGCCAGCUUGGGCGCCAAGGGCGAGAAGAUAUGCCUGGGAUAGUUGAAGCUCUUAGUGGAGAAAAGCCAACAUCACUUUCAGCUGGACGUGUGCAUUCAAUUGCUCUUACUUCAAAGAAGGAGCUAUGGGCAUGGGGCUCGGGCAGAAAUGGCCGACUUGGAUUGGGAAGCUCGUUGGAUGAGAUGGAACCAGCACUUGUAGAGUCUUUGGUAGGUUUGGAAGUCUUACAAGCAGUGGCAGGCUUUGAUCAUAGUCUUCUACUGGUUGUUGAUUAGUCCUUGCAGUAAGUAUUCAUUGCUUUAUUCGUCCUGAACUGAUAUCCAGUGUGCUUUUAUCAUGCUCUCUUAGCUGGUAAAAAAGAAAACUAAUUAUAAUGCUGGAAUGACUGCUAAAUAAAUGUGUGCUUUAGAUGUUCUAUCAGACAUUGAAACAAACUGUUUUAUACAUGUCUGGUAAAGAUUUGUUAGAAGUUUAAAGUAAUUUUGCAACAGAAAUGGGAUAGCUCAAAACAAUCUGAAAAAGAAGGGAAAGGAAAAGAUAGUUAUUCUUACAUGUGUCAUAAUAAUCAAGGGAGGAAAAGAUGGAACAAUUUUCCAAACUCAUAAUCUUGAGGCAAUUUUUUUAGAACAGUUUGAUUGGCUUUGCAAUCUCUUCUGCUGUUACAUGUGGAGAAGCUGGCCACCGGGUUGGUUGUUCUCAUCUUUUGAUUCUCGUGUACAUUAUGUAAUUUACUUGGGGCUUCUUUCUUAUGAGGCAGCUUAAAACAUGAUGAAGCAACAACUUAGUAGCUUCAUGCAAGAUUCCAUCAUGUGUGAAUGUGCAUCUAUGGUUGAGGUGAUGACCCGGUGCCUGCUCCCGGUAUAUAAUGGGUGCAGGCAUGGAGCUACAGACUAAAGGGUAAGUAAUGCGUAUCCAGAAUCUUGUCAGCUGCAUAUUCAGUGAUAUGGAGGAGGAAUUAUUUGUCUGUUUUCCAGCAUAUAUCCAGUCAGAUUCAGAAGCCAAGUCAAUACAAUCCUUUUAGCAGCAAUCUCCAGGAGCAAGAUGGAUUGAUCAACCAAUUCCAGAUACAAAAUCAAUAAAUAUGUUUGAGCAUGAAAGAUGCUUGAUGGGGUGACUAAUGCCAGUCCAUGUGAGUUGAAUUGCUUGUUGGUCUUAUUGUAUGAUCCUCCUGUAUUUUGUGCUUGAACAUUUGCACACUGGUUUCGUUUUGAUUUGUUACUUUUAAGGAUUUUUACUGGUUGAUAAACUCUGGCUUAUGUAAUUCUAGAUGUUUGAAAAUGACCAUUUGGUAGACAGAUUUUGGAGUUCAUUGCUUGUUGACUUUGGUGUA